rnacentral:rRNA from 1 species
UGGGGAAUUUUGGACAAUGGGCGAAAGCCUGAUCCAGCAAUGCCGCGUGUGUGAAGAAGGCCUUCGGGUUGUAAAGCACUUUUGUCCGGAAAGAAAUCCUUGGCUCUAAUACAGUCGGGGGAUGACGGUACCGGAAGAAUAAGCACCGGCUAACUACGUGCCAGCAGCCGCGGUAAUACGUAGGGUGCAAGCGUUAAUCGGAAUUACUGGGCGUAAAGCGUGCGCAGGCGGUUUGCUAAGACCGAUGUGAAAUCCCCGGGCUCAACCUGGGAACUGCAUUGGUGACUGGCAGGCUAGAGUAUGGCAGAGGGGGGUAGAAUUCCACGUGUAGCAGUGAAAUGCGUAGAGAUGUGGAGGAAUACCGAUGGCGAAGGCAGCCCCCUGGGCCAAUACUGACGCUCAUGCACGAAAGCGUGGGGGAGCAAAACAGGAUUAGAUACCCUGGUAGUCCACGCCCUAAACGAUGUCAACUAGUUGUUGGGGAUUCAUUUCCUUAGUAACGUAGCUAACGCGUGAAGUUGACCGCCUGGGGAGUACGGUCGCAAGAUUAAAACUCAAAGGAAUUGACGGGGUCAUAGCUGUUUCCU